rnacentral:rRNA from 1 species
AUUGAACGCUGGCGGCAUGCCUUACACAUGCAAGUCGAACGAGAAAGUGUAGCAAUACAUGAGUACAGUGGCGACCGGGUGAGUAACACGUGACUAACCUACCUUCUUGUGGGGAAUAACCUUCCGAAAGGAGGGCUAAUACCGCAUAACAUCGCGAGGUGAGAUUCCUUGUGAUCAAAGGAGUGAUUCGCAGGAAGAGGGGGUCGCGGCUGAUUAGCUAGUUGGUGAGGUAACGGCUCACCAAGGCAGUGAUCAGUAUCCGGCCUGAGAGGGAGCACGGACAGACUGGAACCGAAACAAGGUCCGGAGUCCUACUGGGGGAAGCAGUGGGGAAUUUUGCGCAAUGGGGGAAACCCUGCCGAAGCACCGCCGCGUGGAGGAUGAAGGUCUUUGGAUUGUAAACUCCUUUCGAUCGGGACGAUGAUGACGGUACCGGAAGAAGAAGCACCCGCUAACUCUGUGCCAGCAGCCGCCGUAAUAC